rnacentral:rRNA from 1 species
UACGUAGGGUGCGAGCGUUAAUCGGAAUUACUGGACGUAAAGCGCGCGUAGGCGGCCAGAUAAGUCCGGUGUGAAAGUCACAGGCUCAACCUGUGAAUGCCGCUGGAAACUGUCUGGCUUGAGUCCGGAAGGGGCGAGUGGAAUUCCGGGUGUAGUGGUGAAAUGCGUAGAGAUCCGGAGGAACACCAGUGGCGAAGGCGACACGCUGGGCCGUACCUGACACUGAUGCGCGACAGCAUGGGGAGCAAACAGG